CUAAAAAGAAGUUCAUAAAUACGGGAUUGGUGUGAAGAGUCGUUCUCCUUCUUGUCGAAUAUCUCGGAUUCAAUUAUGAAAUUAAAACGGGAGAUAAGAGAAAAAUUCCACUUUUCUCAGAAAUAAGUCAGUUGACAUUGUCAUGCCAGUUACUCAGAGUUAUGGUGGAUAUAAAUAUAUGGAUGUUUCUGGUAUUAUUACUGUAGAUGUAGUCAGAUUCAUUGUUGCUAAACCAGCAGAACUAUCAAAAUUAACAGCAAUAAUUCAUCCAUUUUCUUUUCUGAUGUGGUUAAUAACGUUUUUCGCUUUUAUUAUUUCUGUAAGUUUAUUCACAAUAAUCUUUCGAAAACAUGAAGAAUUGAGAAACAAAACACCUUCGAAAGCAUACGAUAUUGCUUGGGCGUUAUUCGGAUCAUUUUGUAAUCAAGGUUCUAUAAAAACUAAUAUCUAUCAUGAUUCAGUUAAACAAAUAUUGUGUAAUAAUUUUUAUUUAAUAAUACUGUGUUAUUACUCGCAGGAAAUCAGUUAU